CCGAGUUGAUUCGGGCUCCGGCCCGAUCCUCCCACCCUUUGUGUACCUACCUCUGUUGCUUUGGCGGGCCGCGGUCCUCCGCGGCCGCCCCCCUCCCCGGGGGGGUGGCCAGCGCCCGCCAGAGGACCAUCAAACUCCAGUCAGUAAACGAUGCAGUCUGAAAAACAUUUAAUAAACUAAAACUUUCAACAACGGAUCUCUUGGUUCUGGCAUCGAUGAARAACGCAGCGAAAUGCGAUAAGUAAUGUGAAUUGCAGAAUUCAGUGAAUCAUCGAAUCUUUGAACGCACAUUGCGCCCUUUGGUAUUCCGAAGGGCAUGCCUGUUCGAGCGUCAUUACAACCCUCAAGCUCUGCUUGGUAUUGGGCACCGUCCUUUGCGGGCGCGCCUCAAAGACCUCGGCGGKGGCGUCUUGCCUCAAGCGUAGUARAACAUACAUCUCGCUUCGGAGCGCAGGGCGUCGCCCGCCGGACGAACCUUCUGAAUUUUCUCAAGGUUGACCUCGGAUCA
rnacentral:rRNA from 1 species